UUUAUACAUUUAAAUAUAAUUUAAAGGACGCGGUAUCUUGACCGUGGUAAUGUAGCAUAAUCACUCGCCAUUUAAUUGAUGGAUAGUAUGAAUGGUUGAACGAAUAUAACACUGUCUCAAGUAGAAAAUAUAUAAAACUGGAAUAAUAGUAAAGAUACUAUUUAAAAUCGUAAGACGAAAAGACCCUAUAGAGCUUAACUAUUAUCUUUUAUAAAAUCACGUAAAUUUAUUUAUAAUAUUAGAAGAUAGGUAGUUUAGUUGGGGCGACUACUUUCUAUAAACAAACGAAAGUAAGCAAAAUUAAUAAAAUAAUUAACUGUAUAAACCUUAACUUUAACAGUUACUAAAGUAGGCUAUAAUGACCCGUUUUACUUAAAGAAUAAAGAAAACGAUCAAUAAAUAAAAGCUACCUUAGGGAUAACAGGAUAAUUUUAUUUUAGAGAUCUAAUCGAAGAUA
rnacentral:rRNA from 1 species